AGCAGAUGGAUUUCUACUACAAUAUUUUAUAAAAAAAAAUAUCCAUUAAUUUUAAUCCUAUCCCAAGAAAAAUAUUAAUUUUUCUAAUAUAUUUUGCGAGUUUAUAUAUCUUUAAAAUUUCCUAAGCCGCUCCUGUUCGCAUUGUAAAGGUUAGGAAAUUUCCUAUUUAUUUGUGUAGAAUUUACCAACUACGUAGAUAGUUAUUGUGAAAUCAUUCAUUAUUCGAGAAUGAAUCCUCUAAAAGGUUUGGUGUUUUUCCUUUAAGUUUUGAGCGAUAAAAAUCCCAUGUUAUUAUUGGUCUGCAUUUUGAAAGAUCCUUGAGUUGUAGUUGAGGAUUGGUCAAUAGUUUUGGCCGAACGAUCGAGAAGAAAUGCAUCGUUUGGACGCGAGAGAGACGUGACGAUGUAAAGCCAGUUCUAAAAGUACAUCACUUCAGUAAACAUCUUUUUGUUAGAACUCAACCAACAGACUCGUAGAAAGUCGCACUUUGCCGGCAAAAUGGUUUUAUUUUUAUGGUAAAAGAAGUGAAAGACUGGCAGUUUGCCCAGUAAAUGUCAACGAAUAUAAUGACAAUAGUUUCACGGCAUUUUAAUGGAUAUAUUAUUGUGAAAUAGUUCUAUUGUUAUGCAGUUUGAUUUGCCGGUAAAAAAGAAGUGCGUGGUUUCCUGGUUCCUGUCCUUUGUAUAGCUGUUGCUAUUUUUUUGAUGAUGUUUUGGAUUUGUUCAUGUUCCAGUAAGAAUUCCCGUAAGUUCCUGUUUCCAGUUUAGUAAUGAUUUGAAUGCCUUCCCCCCAAUCUCGAAUGGAAAAUUUUGAAGUUCCAAGUGUGACAUGUGACAAGGAUUUUGUUUUAGCGAGGUAUGGAUAAUGUUUAUUUUAAAUAAUUCACAAGUGGAUAUUAUUGGUAAAGAUUUUACAUAAUUAAAUAUGUUGUUUUCAACAUGGAUUCUCUAAAAAUUAUUAUGUAAAGUAAAUUUAAAGGCAGUGACAUUUGACAGCCAUGUCAAAUUUUUGUUUUGGUACACUGCUAAAAAUAAGGUUAAAAAUUGUAAAAUCAUGUAUUUUGUUAUUAUUAUUCAUUUCUGGUUUGAGAAUGUGUCUAUUCUCAAUAAAAAUAAAAAGGUAUAAAGGUUUAAAUAAACAUUAUAAAAUGUA